AGGGCGGUAUCAUAUUUGAGCUGCACCGCGUUCACCCAAAAUUCAUGCAUGAUAAUAAGACAAAUACUGCCUUGAUCCGGACGGACAGGGACAGAGGG
rfam:Domibacillus iocasae strain DSM 29979 DSM29979_contig_5, whole genome shotgun sequence.